rnacentral:rRNA from 1 species
AUUGAACGCUGGCGGCAUGCCUUACACAUGCAAGUCGAACGGCAGCACGGGUGCUUGCACCUGCUGGCGAGUGGCGCACGGGUGAGUAAUACAUCGGGACAUGUCCUGUAGUGGGGGAUAGCCCGGCGAAAGCCGGAUUAAUACCGCAUACGAUCUACGGAUGAAAGCGGGGGACCUUCGGGCCUCGCGCUAUAGGGUUGGCCGAUGGCUGAUUAGCUAGUUGGUGGGGUAAAGGCCUACCAAGGCGACGAUCAGUAGCUGGUCUGAGAGGACGACCAGCCACACUGGAACUGAGACACGGCCCAGACUCCUACGGGAGGCAGCAGUGGGGAAUCUUGGACAAUGGGCGAAAGCCUGAUCCAGCAAUGCCGCGUGUGUGAAGAAGGCCUUCGGGUUGUAAAGCACUUUUGUCCGGAAAGAAAUCCUGGGCCAUAAUACGGGCGGGGGAUGACGGUACCGGAAGAAUAAGCACCGGCUAACUACGUG